rnacentral:misc_RNA from 1 species
GGAUUUUUUUUUUUUAAUAUUUAUAUGUGGAACGGAUGAAACUGUGGCAAAUGUUCUUGAUGAUUGGAAAUUUUGAAGAGAAGAUGAUAAGAACUUGGUUUGCCAUAACAAAAUGAAGUAUUGCUUAGCUUAGUACCCAUGUUUUAGACAUUUCCAAAGUCCAGAUAUGACCAAAAGAAUAAAUAUAGGGUCUGUUUGCUAUUGCCUGUUAAUAAAACUAUCUCUAGAGAGUAUUAAAAUUUGAUUUAAAAUUAA